AGCAAAGCUGGAAUUUGCUGGAUGUGCUUUCAUAUGUAAGUACUCCUGACAAUUACUUGUCUUCAAAGCGGCAUUCGACAAAAUGAUAAAAAAUAUAGAUGUGUUUGCUAAAGGAGUGCACAGCAGGACUACACUGCAGGUGUAACAUAAUCCGACAACUGCCCCCUCAACCAGUCCUCGUUAGUAUAGUGGUGAGUAUCCCCGCCUGUCACGCGGGAGACCGGGGUUCAAUUCCCCGACGGGGAGGUGUGAUUUUGAGUUAGUGCUUCAGACAGCUACUUAACUUCAAAGUGGCAUUUGACAAAAUACAAAUAGAAAA